UACGGGGGGAGCAAGCGUUGUUCGGAUUUACUGGGCGUAAAGGGCGCGUAGGCGGUCAGCACAAGUCAGUUGUGAAAUCUCCGGGCUUAACUCGGAAAGGUCAACUGAUACUGUGCGACUAGAGUGCGGAAGGGGCAACUGGAAUUCUCGGUGUAGCGGUGAAAUGCGUAGAUAUCGAGAGGAACACCUGCGGCGAAGGCGGGUUGCUGGGCCGACACUGACGCUGAUGCGCGAAAGCGUGGGGAGCAACAGG
rnacentral:rRNA from 1 species